rnacentral:rRNA from 1 species
UGGGGAAUCUUGCACAAUGGGGGCAACCCUGAUGCAGCGACGCCGCGUGAGCGAUGAAGCCCUUCGGGGCGUAAAGCUCUUUCGACCGGAACGAUAAUGACGGUACCGGGAGAAGAAGCUGCGGCUAACUACGUGCCAGCAGCCGAGGUAAUACGUAGGGGGCAAGCGUUUUCCGGAUUUACUGGGUGUAAAGGGCGCGCAGGCGGGAUAAAAAGUCAGUGGUGAAAUCCUACAGCUUAACUGUAGAACUGCCUUUGAUACUUUUAUUCUUGAGUUCGGGAGAGAGAGACGGAAUUCCAGGUGUAGUGGUGAAAUACGUAGAUAUCUGGAAGAACACCAGUUGCGAAGGCGGUCUCUUGGUCCGACACUGACGCUGAGGC